rnacentral:rRNA from 1 species
UACAGAGGUCUCAAGCGUUGUUCGGAUUCAUUGGGCGUAAAGGGUGCGUAGGCGGCGCGGUAAGUCGGGUGUGAAAUCUCGGAGCUUAACUCCGAAACUGCAUUCGAUACUGCCGUGCUUGAGGACUGGAGAGGAGACUGGAAUUUACGGUGUAGCGGUGAAAUGCGUAGAUAUCGUAAGGAAGACCAGUGGCGAAGGCGGUUCUCUGGGCCUUACCUGACGCUGAGGAGCGAAAGCAUGGGGAGCAAACAGG